GACGAACGCUGGCGGCGUGCCUAAUACAUGCAAGUCGAACGAAGCUGUUUUAACUGGUGCUUGCACCGACUUAAACAACUGAGUGGCGAACGGGUGAGUAACACGUGGGUAACCUGCCCCAAAGCGGGGGAUAACAUUUGGAAACAGAUGCUAAUACCGCAUAACCACAGAAACCACAUGGUUUCUGUGUCAAAGAUGGUUUCGGCUAUCACUUUGGGAUGGACCCGCGGCGUAUUAGCUAGUUGGUAAGGUAAUGGCUUACCAAGGCAAUGAGACGUAGCCGAACUGCGAGGUUGAUCGGCCACAUUGGGACUGAGACACGGCCCAAACUCCUACGGGAGGCAGCAGUAGGGAAUCUUCCACAAUGGACGAAAGUCUGAUGGAGCAACGCCGCGUGAGUGAAGGAGGUUUUCGGAUCGUAAAACUCUGUUGUCAGAGAAGAACGUGUGCGAGAGUAACUGUUCGUGCAGUGACGGUAUCUGGCCAGAAAGCCACGGCUAACUACGUGCCAGCCGCCGCCGUAA
rnacentral:rRNA from 1 species